CUAGAACACUCUGAUUCAGCAGGUGGAUGGUGGGCCUGAGCGUCUUAUUUUUAACAAACUCCCCAGGGGGUUCUCGUGCACAGCCAGGCUUGAGAAUCCCAUUGGUUUAGGUCAAGGCGGGGCAGAUAGAAUAGAUUAGAGGAGACUAGUUGGCGAAAAGCACAUCAGCUCCACCCAUGCUGCAGUGGGGUCAGCAGUAAGAGGCGUCCCAGCUCUUUCUAGCUGGCCCAUGAGUGAGUCCUAACAUUGCAAAGCCUCAGUUAUCUCAUCAUUAAAAUGGGAAUCACGGCAAUGGCCCCAGAGUAUAAAUGUGAGAGUUAAAUAGACGAUGCCCACAGGGCACUUGACAGAGGGCUUGGCACAGAAUGAGAAGUGAAUAAAUGUUAGUCGUUGUCAUUCUUAUUGUCAUUGUUGUUAGGACUUCUAAAGAAGCGUGGAGGCCCUUUGACUAGUGUGUCAGGAAGUAGCCCUGUUCCAAAAAGUCUUUCUGAGAGGAAGCCAGUAAAUCUUGCUCCGGCUAAAAAAAAAAAGAAACAUAAAUAAUAAUAAAAAAGAAAGAGUAUCUAGGUUUGGGGUGGGGCCUGGGGAUUCUGAAAAGGCGGAGGGAGGUGCAGGCAAAGAGCUGGAGAACUUGGGCGGCUGGUGGAGUGGAAGAGCCCUGAGCGGAAGCCCGGAGACCUGAGGCCGGGCUUGGCUCCGGGCGUGUGCCAGGCCUUCGGGGAUCUAGAACUCAGAUGGAGAAGAGAGGUGUUGUGUGUCCUUAUCACAUCUUCCCCCAGCAACUAUUGAGGAAAAUAAAUAAAGAAGUAUAGAUGAGUAAUAAGACAUCACAUCCACUAGAGACUCUUGAUCCGACAUCCGAUGAAUCCAUCCGCUUCCAAGGUGACUAGUUCAUCAGUUAAGGUCAAGAAGAGGAAUGCAGCAGUGUAACUACGGCAACCGUGGCUGAUUUCAAGCUACCAACAUGAUGUCAUUGAAUAUGGAGUUGGGAAGAAUGCACACAAUUGGCUCUGCUUGAGUGUAAGAUGAUCCUAAAGAUUGAAAAUCAGUGAAGAAAAUGGUGCAGAAAGAAGAUCGUACCUCCUAAAGAAGACUGUGCCCCACCACCUCGCUCCUUCCCCCCUUUACCCCCAUAAAAUCUUUUCUUCUUUGGGCUGAAUUGUGUCACCUCAAAAUUCAUCUGCUGAAAUCCUAACCCUCAGUACUUUGGAAUGUGACUGUACUUGGAGAUAGGGUCUAUCAGAGGCAAUGAAGUUAAAAUGAGGUCAUGGGGGUGGGGAGUGUCUUAAUCCAAUAAGACUGGUGUCCUUCUCAGAAGAGGAAAGUCUGGACACAGACACACACAAAGGGAAGACCAAGUGAGGACACAGCAAGAAGGUGGCCAUCUGCAAACCAAGGAGAGAGGCCUCAGUAGAAAGCAACCCUGCUGACAUCUUGAUCUCAGAGCUCUAACCUUUAGAACUGUGAGAGGAUAAAUUUCCAUUGUUUCAG
rnacentral:lncRNA from 1 species